GUAGGGUGCAAGCGUUAAUCGGGAAUUACUGGGGCGUAAAGCGUGCGCAGGCGGUUUUGUAAGUCUGAUGUGAAAUCCCCCGGGGGCUCAACCUGGGGAAUUGCAUUGGAGACUGCAAGGCUAGAAUCUGGCAGAGGGGGGUAGAAUUCCACGUGUAGCAGUGAAAUGCGUAGAUAUGUGGAGGAACACCGAUGGCGAAGGCAGCCCCCUGGGUCAAGAUUGACGCUCAUGCACGAAAGCGUGGGGAGCAAACAGGAUUAGAUACCCUGGUAGUCCACGCCCUAAACGAUGUCUACUAGUUGUCGGGUCUUAAUUGACUUGGUAACGCAGCUAACGCGUGAAGUAGACCGCCUGGGGAGUACGGUCGCAAGAUUA
rnacentral:rRNA from 1 species